rnacentral:misc_RNA from 1 species
CAGAGUUCAUGCCCUAACGGGUAGACCUCCCACCCUGUGUUACUUACGUUUGUUGCUUUGGCAGGUCGCCUUCGGGCACUCGGCUCUCGCUGAGGUGCGCCUGCCAGAGGACCCACAACUCUGUGUUUAGUGUUGUCUGAGUACUAUAUAAUAGUUA